GCUGGGCCGGAGGCCGCUGCUCCCCUGCUGAGUGCCGGCUGCCCCGCUCCGGCCGCGGGUGGGGGGCUCGUGCAGAAGCCGGGGCGAGCUGAACUCGAACGAGCUCGCGCCUGCCGGCCGAGGUUCAAAUGCUUCAGCCCCCUGUGGCUGCGCAGCUCCCGAGUCCCUUCAGAGGCGCCUGGGCUUCCCCGGGCCGGACCCGGCGCCUUUUGAGCGCCCUCCGCUCCCGCUGACGGCGCUGGGCGCUGAGGGUGUCAGGCCCCUGCGGCUCGGGGCUUUGCUCAGAAGAAGGAAAUGUCAGCUCAGAUCUAACGCAGAGAGUCAGUGGCGUGCAUGGCUGCAAAAUAACUGACAGUUACAUUGUAUGAAGGGUGGUCGUGGCUGUGAGGGUCCCAGGAUAGGAGAGAGAUAAGAAGGGUAAGUCUUUGGUCAUAAUACAAUGGAUGCACAAACCAGAAAAAUGGCUCAGUUAUUGGACAAUGAUCAGUUCUUGGAAAAAGUAGGGGUAAGCAUGGGAUCUGGCACAGUUCCGGUGAAAGGCCGACCAUCCUGGCAUGAUAUUACAAUAACAGAUUUGGAGCCCGAUAAUGGAUUACUGGUUACACACAUCAACCAGACACAAGACCUGCUGAGAGUGCAAAGGAGGAAAAUGCAAUCCAGUGAGGUGCAAACCACAGAAGAAUGGCUAAGAAACCACAGUUUAGAAUCCAUGCAAUUAACAUUAGAAGAUCUCCUAAAGAAAGGCAAUGUUGUUUUGAAUGCAAGAAAUGCCACAGAACAGAUAGAGUUUGCUGCCAAGACAGUUGUUAAUUUUGAAUCCAAGCUGUCUGAAGCAAUUGAACUUUAUCACCAGCGAAUUCAGUGGCUGUUGGAGGACAGCAGAAAGGUGUUCGGCCUUAUAAAAGGGAACAAAGUUGGACUCCUGGUUGAUGUAUCUGAUAUAAGUUGCGGACCUCGACUAUUUGAGUUCCAGAAAGACCUUUUGUGUCUAAUAGAUGAACAGCUGUGUUAUAAGAAGCAAUUAUAUUUCCUCUCCUUUGGUACUGAGAUUUCAUCUCUAUGGGAGAAUCCAACAAACAUCAACGUGCGCGUCCUAGAUGAAGCAAGACAGUGGGUGCAGGAGCUGCAACCCAGUGGAGGCUGCAAUUUGCUGAAAGCUUUAAAGAAGGUCCUUACAAUGAGGGAACUGAAUUCAUUGGUUCUUAUUGUAGGAAGCUGCCCUGAUCAGUCUUCGGAAAUAUUGUGUGACUAUAUUCAGCAAUGUACCUUGGGGAGAAAGCUGCUGAUACACACCAUUACAUAUGAGUGUAGCAGUCAUGUUCCUCCUGCUGUUUUAAAGAACCUUGCGGAAGUUGUUGGAGGCCGUUAUCACUGCUAUUCUUCAAAGAAUGAGAAUUACGAUAGUAGUGAUGUUUAUCUGCUACUUUGUGAAUCCCAAAAAGCUAAGAACAUUCUCAGCAGCAUCAAAGAAACUUUCCAGGGAAGGAUUGGUGAUUCAGUUAUUGGUAGAGUACAAGAUAUUUCCACAGUAUUUACCAAGUUGACGCCUGCUAGUUUCCUACCCAAGCCUCCAAACCAUGAAGGACCUCUUGUUGUACAAAUGCCAAGCUUCCUGGCCAAAACCUCUGCACGCUGGUUAAAGACAAAUGGAUUGAAAGCCAAGAAGUUAAGCCUUUAUCAAGUUUUGGCUCCUAAUGCUUUUUCACCUGUGGAAGAAUUUGUGCCUAUUCUUCAGAAAACAGUGUCAUCAACUCUGCAUGAGAAAGCAAUGAUGCAGUUUGAAUGGCAUGAUGGGACUGUGAAAAAUGUCCACGUGGACCCACCAAUAUUAUAUGACUAUCAGAAACAGCUUGAUAGAAUGGUGAGAACGUAUGAGAGGCGAAUAGACUGGCUUUCUGUCGCUAGCAGAAGAAUAUGGGGAACUGUUUGUGAACUGAGGGUUGUUAUACUCGUUGAUAUCUCAGUAACAAAUUCCUUGUACAUCAUUCAUAUCCAACAUUCCUUGCGACUUUUACUUGAAGAACAAAUGUCAAACAAGGAUUUCUUCAAUAUUCUAGCAUUUGGAAGUGACAUCAAGUCUUGGAAACCAGAAAUGGUUCCUUGUAAUCCAGAAAAUUUACAAAGUGCCUGGAGAUGGGUGUUGAGCCUGCAGUGCAAAGGUAGUAGAAAUUUCAUGAGUGCUCUAAGAAGAGCAGUGGAAGUAGACCUCAAAGAUAAAGACAAAUAUGUAUCUCAAGGACUUUAUCUGCUUACCACUGGAGUUCCUGACCAGGAGAUGCAUGCAGUUAGUACUUACGUGGCCGAUGUCUGUGGCGGUUGUGAUUUGCAGCUUCAUGUCUGUCUGUUCAGUAUAAAUGGUUUUGACCCCAGUGGCAUUAUUCCAUCUCGUUAUGCCAGUCCAAAUGAAACUGCCAGCACAUUUAGAGAAAUAGCACAUGCUGCCAAUGGAAGGUUUCAUUGGUUUGGAGAAACAGGCAUUUAUGAAAGUGAUGAUAUCAGUAUUAUUGUGUCUGAAAUGGAAAAAGCAGUCAACUACUCCCAAAAGUGUGCCUUGCUGGUGGAAUCCUUAAAGCAACGUUCAGGAACUCAGUUGGUUAAUCAGUUUAUCCCAGAAGACGAUUUAAAGAUGCUCUUAAAAAAGGAGAGAACUAGAGCACAGAAAUUGCUGCCUCCUAAACCUACAGCUCUCACUCUGGCUAGAAUGAAUAUCAAAGACAAUCAUGAGGGGGAAAAAAAUGCUGCCUUAAAAGCUCUGACAUGGCGUCCAACUAGUGCCAAAGCAGAAAUCCCACCACCUCAGCCAAUAAAAGAAUGGACUCAGACUUCUGUGAAGAAGAAAUAUAAAUCAAGAAAACAGUCACAGAUCUCCCUCUCAGUAUUUUAUAUUGACAAAGGAAAAAAUGUGGGUGCAGUUUACAGAAAGUAUCCAAAGAAAAAAAGUGUGAGGAGGUCAAUUCCUGUUGCUACACUGCCAAAGGAAGAGGAAAUAUGUUCAAGCAAAGAGUGGUUGAACAAGUACAGUAUAAAAAAGUUGAAGUUAGAGUUGCCCAGAAUUAUGUUUGGUCCCAACUGUGUUCACCAGAAGAAAACGGUGGAGUCUUUGCACAAGAAAGUGUCAGCAAAAUACUGUACCAUUUUCCCCAGUGUGGAAAUUAAUGGUAUUGUGAAACACCUACAAUUUCAGCCUAAGGAACUAGAAGACUAUGUUGAACAAAUGGAGAGGGUGUUACAUUGCUAUAUACGAAGAAUACAAUGGCUUCUUUCAGGAAGCCGGCGAUUAUUUGGCACCAUUUUGGAGACAAAGGUAUGCAUCUUGAUUGAUACAUCUGGUUCCAUGGACCCUUAUUUGCAACAGGUCACAAAAGAGCUUAUCUCCCUCAUCUGGGAACAGCUAAGAAAGAAUAAUGCUAGGUUUAACCUGCUGAGAUUUGCAGAAGAUAUAGACACUUGGCAGGACUUUCUUGUAGAGGCUACAGAUGAAACAUGUCAUGAUGCUGUACAAUGGGUGUCAAAAUUCCAAGCUCAUGGCAAUACAUGUGUCCUUAAGGCUUUGCAGAAAGCUUUCUGUUUUCAAGAUCUAGAGGCACUGUAUGUUCUGACCGAUGGAAAGCCAGAUACCAGCUGCAGUCUCAUUCUAAAAGAAGUUGAAAAGAUUAGAAAGAAACAAACUAUUAAAAUCCACACCAUUUCUUUUAACUGUUCAGACAGAAGAGCUAAUGAAUUUCUGAAGAAGCUGGCCUCUCAAACAGGAGGACGCUACCAUCGCUGUAUUGGAGAUAUGGAUGGACAGUUAGCAGCACACAGAAUGUUGACAGAAGGGUUUGAUGAUGAUGAUGAUCCAGUUUUUCCUUUCUUCGAAGGAGAUGAUUUAAAGAAACUUGCUCAAGAAGUAGCAAAAGCCAGAAGCUUUUUAAUGCAAGCAAAAUCCUUUAGGUUGCUAUUAGAAAAAUGGAAUUUGGACCAAAAGGACAAUUCUUUUUUAAAAAAAAAUCCUCAGGUGCUUUGCUAGGUCAGGGCUGUGACAGAGGUGAAGAUUUUCUGCCAGUUGAAGCCUGCAGCCUGGACAGUAAAUCAGGCCCAGAAUGCACAUACAGUUCAACCUUUUUAUUUUAACAGACUCCAGAUAUUAUCCUUGAUGGGUAAAAGAGAUGGACUAUCCUCCUAAAAAUAAAAUUAUUCCCAACGUCUUUAUAUAGUGAUGUCAAGAAACAACUGUUUGCACAGAAAAAAAAAUAAAGCCUAAAGUUGAAGAGAA